rnacentral:lncRNA from 1 species
GCAAUGUGGCCCCCUAAUGGUGGCUGCGCUGAGCCAGCUCCUCAGAUUACCACCUUAUUGGCCGCCUUUCUCAGCUUUUCUGUAGUUACCCAUAUUUUGUUCCUCUUUCUUGUCUAUUUUCUGUGCUUUUUCUCUGCUUUCCGUCUCGCUAUUUUCUCACAUCUCCAUUUUCUUUCUCCUUCCUGCCACCAUUCUUCAUGUUCUUCCCACAGGACUUGAACUGCCAUGUCCUCUGAAGAAGGAAAGCUCUUCGUGGGAGGGCUCAACUUUAACACCGACGAGCAGGCACUGGAAGACCACUUCAGCAGUUUCGGACCUAUCUCUGAGGUGGUCGUUGUCAAGGACCGGGAGACUCAGCGGUCCAGGGGUUUUGGUUUCAUCACCUUCACCAACCCAGAGCAUGCUUCAGUUGCCAUGAGAGCCAUGAACGGAGAGGUGGGGCCUCCUAUCUGCAGAGGGACCUUGUCCCCAUCUGCGGCUUCCUUCAUUCUUUUUGUUUUUCCCUCUGUGUCUGCUCGGGGCAGCGUGGCCACCAAGCCCCGCAGUGCCCACUCACAGGAGCAUGACUGCCUUUUGUUCUAGGGGGUGGAGGGCAGCGGCAGACAGAGCCUGGCCGCCUGGGAGGCGACGACUGGUCCUGCAUGAGGCCGAGAAGCCACCUGUGGAUGGUUGACCUGCCUUGGGCUUAGGUAGUAGAGUCUGCAGACCUGUGGGCCUGGCCCGGAGAGGACCUCGUGAGUCUUCUGACAUGGACUCUGAAGCCUCAAACCAAGAGAGGUGUCUGUCUAGCCCUGAUAGUCGGGCAGCUUAGAGGAGUGGGGAGGAGAACUCAGCCUGAGUUCAGUCAAGAUUCUCUGGAUGGUCGUCAGAUCCGUGUGGAUCAUGCAGGCAAGUCUGCUCGGGGAACCAGAGGAGGUGGCUUUGGGGCCCAUGGGCGUGGUCGCAGCUACUCUAGAGGUGGUGGGGACCAGGGCUAUGGGAGUGGCAGGUAUUAUGACAGUCGACCUGGAGGGUAUGGAUAUGGAUAUGGACGUUCCAGAGACUAUAAUGGCAGAAACCAGGGUGGUUAUGACCGCUACUCAGGAGGAAAUUACAGAGACAAUUAUGACAACUGAAAUGAGACAUGCACAUAAUAUAGAUACACAAGGAAUAAUUUCUGAUCCAGGAUCGUCCUUCCAAAUGGCUGUAUUUAUAAAGGUUUUUGGAGCUGCACCGAAGCAUCUUAUUUUAUAGUAUAUCAACCUUUUGUUUUUAAAUUGACCUGCCAAGGUAGCUGAAGACCUUUUAGACAGUUCCAUCUUUUUUUUUAAAUUUUUUCUGCCUAUUUAAAGACAAAUUAUGGGACGUUUGUAGAACCUGAGUAUUUUUCUUUUUACCAGUUUUUUAGUUUGAGCUCUUAGGUUUAUUGGAGCUAGCAAUAAUUGGUUCUGGCAAGUUUGGCCAGACUGACUUCAAAAAAUUAAUGUGUAUCCAGGGACAUUUUAAAAACCUGUACACAGUGUUUAUUGUGGUUAGGAAGCAAUUUCCCAAUGUACCUAUAAGAAAUGUGCAUCAAGCCAGCCUGACCAACAUGGUGAAACCCCAUCUGUACUAAACAUAAAAAAAUUAGCCUGGCAUGGUGGUGUACGCCUGUAAUCCCAGUGACUUGGGAGGCUGAGGCAGGAGAAUCGCUUGAACCCGGGAGGCGGAGGUUGCAGUGAGCUAAGAUCGCGCCACUGUACUCCAGCCUGGGCAACAGCGAGACUCCAUCUCAAAAAAAAAGGAAAUGUGUAUCAAGAACAUGAUUAUCCAGCGGUAUUUUCUAAUUCAGAUCAUCAAACUGAUUAUAUAGAAGAGUUGGCUUUAAAAUGUUUGCAAAUGUCUUUUUUUUUUUAAUACUGGAAGAAAAAAUAUUCUGUUGUGUCUCAUACAGUGCUUAGGAUGUCUUUCACAGAGCUUAUUAAAAAGAUGAAACC